UAUAAAAUAUAUAGGUUCCCUAUGACUUUUUCUAAGUUACUACAAAUAUGAAGUAAUUUCAGAAAAUAGCAUUCUAUCAUCUAUAAAAUAUAUAGAUUGCCUAUCACUUUUUCUGAGUUUAGUAGGAGGAUUAAAUGAGAUAUUAUUUUUGAUCUUUAUUAGUUUCAGUAUCAUCUUCAAGAAAUACACUACUUAGAAUUCAUUGCAGUGCCUGAGGUGCAGGUGUUUAGUAAAAAUUAUUAAUAUGAACUUGCUUUGGCCAUAAGAUUCUCUUUUUUUUUUGUACCAGGGAUCAAACUCAUGAUGUCCGGCUUGCCAGGCACAUGCUUAUGCUGCUAAGCUAAAUCUCCAGUCCAAGAUCCUGCAUGAAUGGAAUUCAAAUACAUGGUUAAUGCAAGAUACUUACAAUUACCUGACAGAACUCUGUGGUGUCUGUUUCCCUGUCACUGAUAAACUGCUGAUGAUCAUUCAUAUUACACCAGUUGGCAGCCCGAUACUCUGAUAACUUUACUGUCUUUCAUCUGACACUUUUAUAAUGUUUAUUGUUUUGACUAUUAAAAGGAAUCUUCAAAUGAA